rnacentral:rRNA from 1 species
GAUGCGUAGCUGAUGGGAAGCAGGUUAAUAUUCCUGCACCGUCGUAUGAUGCGAUGGGGGGACGGAUCGCGGAAGGUUGUCUGACUGUUGGAAUAGUCAGUUUCUGCUUCAUAGAAGGCACUUAGGCAAAUCCGGGUGCGUAAUUCAAGGGAGUGGGACGAGUGAACUUGUUCACGUAGCAAUCGGAAGUGGUUCCAAGAAAAGCCUCUAAGCUUCAGUCAUACGAGACCGUACCGCAAACCGACACAGGUGGGCGGGAUGAGUAUUCUAAGGCGCUUGAGAGAACUCAGGAGAAGGAACUCGGCAAAUUGAUACCGUAACUUCGGGAGAAGGUAUGCCCCAAGUAGGUGAACUCGUACAGAGGGAGCCCAAAGGGGUUGCAAAAAAUCGGUGGCUGCGACUGUUUAAUAAAAACACAGCACUCUGCAAACACGAAAGUGGACGUAUAGGGUGUGACGCCUGCCCGGUGCUGGAAGAUUAAAUGAUGGGGUGCAAGCUCUUGAUUGAAGUCCCAGUAAACGGCGGCCGUAACUAUAACGGUCCUAAGGUAGCGAAAUUCCUUGUCGGGUAAGUUCCGACCUGCACGAAUGGCGUAACGAUGGCCACACUGUCUCCUCCUGAGACUCAGCGAAGUUGAAAUGUUUGUGAUGAUGCAAUCUCCCCGCGGCUAGACGGAAAGACCCCGUGAACCUUUACUAUAGCUUGGCACUGAACAUUGACCCUGUAUGUGUAGGAUAGGUGGGAGACUUUGAAGUUGGAACGCCAGUUCUGAUGGAGUCGUCCUUGAAAUACCACCCUUGCAUGUUUGAUGUUCUAACGUAGGCCCCUAAUCGGGGUUGCGGACAGUGUCUGGUGGGUAGUUUGACUGGGGCGGUCUCCUCCUAAAGAGUAACGGAGGAGCACGAAGGUUGGCUAAGUACGGUCGGACAUCGUACGGUUAGUGCAAAGGCAGAAGCCAGCUUAACUGCGAGACAGACACGUCGAGCAGGUACGAAAGUAGGUCUUAGUGAUCCGGUGGUUCUGUAUGGAAGGGCCAUCGCUCAACGGAUAAAAGGUACUCUGGGGAUAACAGGCUGAUACCGCCCAAGAGUUCAUAUCGACGGCGGUGUUUGGCACCUCGAUGUCGGCUCAUCUCAUCCUGGGGCUGUAGCCGGUCCCAAGGGUAUGGCUGUUCGCCAUUUAAAGAGGUACGUGAGCUGGGUUUAAAACGUCGUGAGACAGUUUGGUCCCUAUCUGCCGUGGGCGUUGGAAAUUUGAAGGGGGCUGCUCCUAGUACGAGAGGACCGGAGUGGACACACCUCUGGUGUAUCGGUUGUCACGCCAGUGGCAUUGCCGAGUAGCUAAGUGUGGAAGAGAUAACCGCUGAAAGCAUCUAAGCGGGAAACUCGUUUCAAGAUGAGAUCUGCCGGGGCCUUGAGCCCCCUAAAGAGUCGUUCAAGACCAGGACGUUGAUAGGUCAGGUGUGGAAGCGCAGUAAUGCGUUAAGCUAACUGAUACUAAUUGCUCGUGCGGCUUGACC